rnacentral:rRNA from 1 species
UACAGAGGGUGCGAGCGUUAAUCGGAAUUACUGGGCGUAAAGCGUGCGUAGGCGGUUUGUUAAGACAGGGGUGAAAUCCCCGGGCUUAACCUGGGAACUGCGCUUGUUACUGGCAGACUGGAGUGUGUCAGAGGGGGGUGGAAUUCCAGGUGUAGCAGUGAAAUGCGUAGAUAUCUGGAGGAACACCGAUGGCGAAGGCAGCCCCCUGGGCUAACACUGACGCUGAUGCACGAAAGCGUGGGGAGCAAACAGG